AAACGUUGGAUGAGUGUGAGGCGUUGGAUUGAUUUCGUUCAAUCCGAGCCCCACAUUAGGGGUUCGU
rfam:Nicotiana attenuata strain TT chromosome 2, whole genome shotgun sequence.